rfam:Bacillus sp. LF1 genome assembly, contig: CONTIG000001
ACGAUGUUCCGCUGCAAUUUCAAGUUAAUAGUUUGUAUGAGCAUCUG